CACCCAGGAAAAUCAAGCUUUCAAAAUGUACCAUUUACUUGUGACAGACCGGAUUCCCAGCAGUUUAUGAUGAUUUGAUAUAACUGCCAACGGAGUAAAGAUGGAGGCCGGCAGCUGGAAAGUGGUAGCUGGGGAUGAAACUACAGCAUCAGUAAAGAGCAUUCAGUCUUUCCCUUCCAUACUCUUCUUCCCUUUUGUUGCAACUUGCAAUAACUCUCUCCCUCACUUUUCUCUAACUCCAAUCUCUGCUCUGCAAUCUACAUGCCCCAAAGCUUGAAAACCCGAAAAUGGUGAAGAGGAGGAGCAAGAGUAUACAUACAGAAGAGAGACAUCAUUUCUUCAAGAUCAUGUUUCCGGGCUUUUCCACAAGAAGAUUGCGGAUCCCACCAGAAUUUGUGGAGCAUAUUUCAAUGGAAGCAUACAAAUUUGCCACCCUAGAAGAUUCCAAUGGCAAUCACUGGCGAGUUACAUUAAACAAAACUACAAGUGGCACAUAUAUAGAGGAUGGUUGGAAAGAUUUUAUAACAGAUCAAUCCAUCUAUGAUAACAAUUUUCUUGUCUUUGGAUAUGAUGGUAAUACUUGUUUUGAUGUAAAUGUUUUUGAUGAGAGUGGAUGUGAGAGAGAUUAUGUGUUUAGUACUAAACCAAAUCAAGAACCUGACUUCUCCGAUGAAGUUAAAUCAUUUGAGACUUCUACUGAUUAUGUUCAAAAAUCCAUUACAGAUGAUCCAGGGAAACUCUUUCCAACUUUUAAACCAAAGGGGCUUAAAAAAGCUAAAAAAGAGAAUGUUGAGCUGAUCCAUGAACCACUAUCAAAAACUACAUGUUCUGCAUCAAGAAUUUACCGAAAAAAAUGUUCCGUGUCAAGAAGGCGGCCUGCAACUGAAGAAGAAAAGGCAAAAGUUCGGAAAGAAGCAGAGUCUUUUACCUCCAAGUUUCCUCAUUUCUCGAGGUGUUUAACUGCAGCAAAUGUGUACCAAGGAUUUGUUCUGAAUUUUGGGGGCAAAAUGGGAGAAACUUGCGACGAUGAGCAUCUGUACUGGACUCAGUUUCAGGUGAAGCGAUUUUGCCAGGUUCUAUCCCCUGGUUUCCAUCGACAGCUUAGCAUCCCCACUAAGUUUGUUCAGUGUUUGAAGGAUGACCUAUGUGGAACAGGCUCUCUCUUAUGUGGAACUGCCUUUCUUAGAGGUCCUAGCAAUAAGACUUGGAAGUUGGAGUUAAUGGGGACCCAAGAUGGCUUGGUUUUCCAAAAUGGAUGGUCGGACUUCGUCAGAGACCAUUUCUUAGAAGAAGGGAAUAUCUUAUUUUUCAUGUACAAAGGAAAUUUAAAUUUUGAUGUGUUUGUGUUCGACCAUGAAAGCUUGUGUGAGAAGCCAUGUUCCUAUUUCAUGUGCCAUGUUAGUAAGAGAGGAUCAAUGAACGACCCUUCUGAAGCUCGUGGUGCAACUGUUGGGAUUGGGAGACUCAUCAGUCGGAGUACUAAACCCGUCUCUCGCAAGCGGAAAUUGAAGAUUGAUGAAGUAGUAGAACUCGAUUCUUCUAGUUUCGAUUCGUAUUCAACUGAUGAUGCACCGGAACCUCCACUGCCAAGGCCACAGAGUGGGUGUCGUCUUCUUCAUGAAUCCAGUAGGCGACCUGUAACUGAAGAAGAGAAGCUGAAAGUCAAACAGAUGGCCAUGGCAGCCUUUGAUGCUUCAUUGCAUACAAGUUUCUUCGUUGUUAUGCGACAAUCCCAUGUUUAUAGCUUAUUUUACAUGGCAAUCCCUUGCAACUUUGUUAAGAAGCAUUUUCCUCGGAGGAACAAAGAUGUCACUCUUCGCUGCAAUGGAAGUAGAUGGAAUGUCAUGUUUUUACACAGAAACUUGCCAGCUGUUGCUGGAGCAUUUACGAGUGGUUGGGCUGAUUUUGUUUAUGGGAAUAACAUAGAGGAAGAUGAUGUGUGUUUGUUUGAGCUUGUGGAUGAUGGAUUUCGAGAGGAGAAUGAGCACGCCACAGUCUUCAAUGUCCACAUCUUCAGAGUGCUAGAGAAUAUAGCUCCCCUGAGUCGUGUCAGUAAUCCUCGUCAGCACAACGGAAGGAGAAGUGGGAGAGGAGAAUCAUCUUCUGCUAGUAUACGAGGGCGAGGGCGAGGGCGAGGGCGAGGGCGAGGGCGGGGGCGAGGGCGAGGGAGUGGUCGAUGCAAGAGUUUCUUCACUUGAUUAUCCUUCGUUUGGCUGGACUGUCUGUCGGAUCAAAACCCACAUUUCUCAAACUUGGCUUAGCAAGAAUAGACCCCCCCUGGUUCUUCCCAACCUUUUCCUUUAUGGCUUUGAUUAAUAGGAUCCUCUAAGACCAGUAAUGUUUCAGAUUGAUACUAUGCUUCUGCCCAUUUUAUAUGGAAGUCUCCCUUCUUGAAGGAUACACAGUACACCGUCAAGAAGACAUUGGUCUCCAUUAAUGAAUUUUGUUUCCAUUUAGGGAAUUUGUAAUCGAGCUUUCUUUUAUGCUAAUUGGCUACGAAUGUGUUUGUGAGAUUGGGUGGCUAAAAGACAGACCCAGUAGCUGAUCUUAAUUAUUUUUUGAGAGGUCUGAAAAAUUGUUGUUUCAUAUUGGUCUAGAAAAAUAAGUAUCCUUAUAAAGGGAGGGUUGGAAUCAUAUAGGUCUUGCUGGUUGGACCCAUUAUGCUGAUGAUCUAUGUAUAUAGUGCUAGCUCCAAAAGUAGUGUCAUAUUGCUCCCAGGAUUUGUAGGAAGAAGCUCAGGGGAUUGAUUAAAUAUUUCUUCCAACUAGUAGCACUGAUUUGGUCUACUAGCUUGGGCUGUCAUGUACUGUUUGAUUCACUCACUGAAUUAUCAGUAGUUUAGAUCUUCAAUCUCCAUUAGUGGUGAGAUAUAUAGGAACUAUAUAUGACCUUUGUCUGCCUAAAAUCUCAAAAGGAAUUUUUUGGGUCUUCCCCAAUAACAUCCUAUCAGCCCCAUCUAAUGGUAGGGUUUUCGAUCAUGUUGUGCAAAGGAGUCUUGAGUUCCAAGUUUUGAAUUACUUUAGAGAGUUCCAUCACUGUCCAAUUGAAAUCUUGUUUUGUAAGGAUGUGUACCUGAACAUAUCCAUCACCUUGUAAAAUUCCAGAUGUUAUAGUGUUGGUUUCUCCCAUCUUCACUGGUUAGGACCAGAGAACAGUGACAGUCUCAAGUCAGAUACCAUGUGAUCAUAGGGUUUUGUCAAUAACUUGCAGCAAAUCCUACCAGACUUUGUGGAGCACAUAUCGACACCCCAGAGGAUUCCAAUGGUAGUCAUUGGCGCGUCAAAUUAAGUAAAACUACAGGUUGUAUGUAUCCAAAGGAAGGUUGGCAAGAUUUUGUAUAAGAUCAUUCCAUCUAUUGAGUAUAAUUUUCUUGGCUUUGGAUA